rnacentral:rRNA from 1 species
UACGGGGGGGGCAAGCGUUGUUCGGAAUUACUGGGCGUAAAGGGCGCGAAGGCGGCCUGCUAAGUCGGGUGUGAAAACUCUGGGCUCAACCCAGAGCCUGCAUUCGAUACUGACGGGCUAGAGUUCUGGAGGGGAAAGCGGAAUUCCUGGUGUAGCGGUGAAAUGCGUAGAUAUCAGGAGGAACACCGGUGGCGAAGGCGGCUUUCUGGACAGAAACUGACGCUGAGGCGCGAAAGCUAGGGGAGCAAACAGG